rnacentral:ncRNA from 1 species
AAAUGCGCUACGGGGAACGAUAAAAACAGCGCGGGGGUAGCGUUGCUGGCACGCGUUCAGCGUGUCGGCAGCGGUUGUCUGCAUGCACGACGGGGCCAACCACCACAACAAACCAACAUGCAGGCACAUACGCCUAUUCAAUCGACGUUCCGCCGUCCGGCCGGGGGAAGCAGAGGUCAAUGCGGGCGGCGGCGGACGCAUUUUUUAC